rnacentral:rRNA from 1 species
CUCCGGUUGAUCCUGCCGGACCUGACUGCUAUCGGAUUGGUACUAAGCCAUGCGAGUCAUUGUAGCAAUACAAGGCGGACGGCUCAGUAACACGUAGUCAACCUAACUCGUGGACGUGGAUAACCUCGGGAAACUGAGAAUAAACCACGAUAGACCAUAGUGCCUGGAAUGGCUUAUGGUCCAAACAGUUUACUGCCAUGGGAUGGGACUGCGGCCUAUCAGCUUGUUGGUGAGGUAAUGGCCCACCACGGCGAUUACAGGUACGGGCUCUGAGAGGAGAAGCCCGGAGAUGGGUACUGAGACACGGACCCAGGCCCUAUGGGGCGCAGCAGGCGAGAAACCUUAGCAAUGUGCGAAAGCACGACUGGGUCAGUCCGAGUGAUUCCUGAUAAAGGAGUCUUUUGCUUGUCCUAAAAGCACAGGUGAAUAAGGGGUGGGCAAGUCUGGUGUCAGCCGCCGCGGUAAUACCAGCACCUCGAGUGGUCAGGACGUUUAUUGGGCCUAAAGCAUCCGUAGCCGGCUUUGCAAGUCUUCGGUUAAAUCCACCUGCUCAACAGAUGGGCUGCUGGAGAUACUACAAAGCUAGGGAGUGGGAGAGGCAGACGGUAUUCAGUGGGUAGGGGUAAAAUCCUCUGAUCCAUUGAGGACCACCAGUGGCGAAGGCGGUCUGCCAGAACACGUUCGACGGUGAGGGAUGAAAGCUGGGGGAGCAAACCGGAUUAGAUACCCGGGUAGUCCCAGCUGUAAACGAUGCAAACUCGGUGAUGCAUUGGCUUAUGGCCAAUGCAGUGCCGCAGGGAAGCCGUUAAGUUUGCCAACUGGGACGUACGGACGCAAGUCUGAAACUUAAAGAAAUUGGCGGGGGAGCA